GACGUAGGGCGCGAGCGUUGUCCGGAUUUAUUGGGCGUAAAGCGUGCGCAGGCGGUUCGUUGUGUCGGCGGUGAAAGCCCCGGGCUUAACCUGGGAAUGGCCGUUGAAACUGGCGAACUGGAGUGUGGCAGAGGGGGGUGGAAUUCCGCGUGUAGCAGUGAAAUGCGUAGAGAUGCGGAGGAACACCGAUGGCGAAGGCAGCCCCCUGGGCUGACACUGACGCUCAGGCACGAAAGCGUGGGGAGCAAACAGG
rnacentral:rRNA from 1 species